rnacentral:misc_RNA from 1 species
GACUCAACCAUCCAAGAACACGUGCUGUUCCAAGGAAAGAUGCCUCCAGUUUUAAGAACUCUGUCUGAUAAUAGAACAUAACCGUCGAGAGAUUUGGAACUGUCACAUGAGCCAAAAAGAACCAAGCCAUUGGUCUCAAAAUGGCUGGCUGGCGGAACGCCCUAAAUAAUGUGGAAGUGGCCAUUUUCAGUGAUUGAUACCACGGAGACAAUGAUGAUCCCUUUUUGUCAGGAGC